CUGGUUGAUCCUGCCAGUAGUCAUAUGCUUGUCUCAAAGAUUAAGCCAUGCAUGUCUAAGUAUAAGCAAUUGUACGGUGAAACUGCGAAUGGCUCAUUAAAUCAGUUAUCGUUUAUUUGAUAGUACCUUACUACUUGGAUAUCCGUGGUAAUUCUAGAGCUAAUACAUGCUUACAGCCCCGACUUCUGGAAGGGGCGAGUUCAUUAGAUAAAAGGCCGACGUUGUUGGUGAUUCAUGAUAACCUUUCGAAUCGCGAGUAAUCGCGAUGGUUCAUUCAAAUUUCUGCCCUAUCAAUUGAACCGUAGGGUAGUGGCCUACGGUGAUUUCUACGGGUAACGGGGAAUAAGGGUUCGAUUCCGGAGAGGGAGCCUGAGAAACGGCUACCACAUCCAAGGAAGGCAGCAGGCGCGCAAAUUACCCAAUCCCGACACGGGGAGGUAGUGACAAUAAAUAACAAUAUAGGGCUC
rnacentral:rRNA from 1 species